rnacentral:lncRNA from 1 species
GCCCAAGGCUAUAUAGGCAGCCCAGUGAUAUUUGGGAUGUCAUAAAUUGUCCAACAUCACAUCUCUCCAAGCCCCAUAAAUCUUUGGGUGGAUUUUCCAGGGUGCUGUAGAUUGUAAGGUUGGCCCUGGCCCCAUCUACACUAGCUGGCAGUGGGUCUCAGAGAUUCACCUAUGUGCACAUCAACCCUGUGUCUAUCUUAUCACCCAACAUGAAUGCUCAGAGAAUAUGGCCAUUUUAUUAGUGUUCAUGCCAGAUGGUCUAUCAGGACUUAUUCAUUCCACACUUUGGACAUAGAAGCAGCCUCUCUAAGUUGUGGAGAAGCAUUGUGAAUACACUCGGGCAUCUGCUGGGCAAUGGCGUGCAGCCGGCAAAUCUUUCACUUCCAGAAGCAUUGUACUAGAACAACACUGAACCACUUCAUGGACGCCGAUCCCCUGGACAAUGACUGAAGUUGAGGAAAGGUUUUAAGUGGUUUUUUUUUUAAUUUUGCCUGCAUUUCAUGUGUGUCAAUAAUUUUGAAUUAUGGAAUGCUCUAAUAUGAAUAAAGACACUGUCAAUCCAUUGUGUAUUGU